UUCCAUGGCGGGCCGGGCGGGGCAGCUGCAAGGCUGGCCGGGUCUUCUUCUGCUGAGGUUCCCCGGUAUGUCACCCCCGUUGUCAGGCCCGCCACCUUC
rnacentral:antisense_RNA from 1 species